GGGGUGCUCGAGUGGCGAACGGGUGAGUAACACGUGAGUAACCUGGCCUUGACUUUGGGAUAACUUCAGGAAACUGGGGCUAAUACCGGAUAGGAGCUCCUGCUGCAUGGUGGGGGUUGGAAAGUUUCGGCGGUUGGGGAUGGACUCGCGGCUUAUCAGCUUGUUGGUUGGGUAGUGGCUUACCAAGGCUUUGACGGGUAGCCGGCCUGAGAGGGUGACCGGCCACAUUGGGACUGAGAUACGGCCCAG
rnacentral:rRNA from 1 species